rnacentral:rRNA from 1 species
UACGUAGGGUGCAAGCGUUGUCCGGAAUUAUUGGGCGUAAAGAGCUCGUAGGCGGUUUGUCGCGUCUGCUGUGAAAACUCGGGGCUUAACCCUGGGCCUGCAGUGGGUACGGGCAGACUAGAGUGCGGUAGGGGAGACUGGAAUUCCUGGUGUAGCGGUGAAAUGCGUAGAUAUCAGGAGGAACACCGGUGGCGAAGGCGCUCAUCUGGCCCAAUACUGACGCUGAGGCGCGAAAGCGUGGGGAGCGAACAGG